UGGGGAAUAUUGGACAAUGGGCGAAAGCCUGAUCCAGCCAUGCCGCGUGUGUGAAGAAGGCCUUAUGGUUGUAAAGCACUUUAAGCGAGGAGGAGGGUACUGGUAUUAAUACUACCAGCUACUGGACGUUACUCGCAGAAUAAGCACCGUCUAACUCUGUGCCAGCAGCCGCGGUAAUACAGAGGGUGCGAGCGUUAAUCGGAUUUACUGGGCGUAAAGCGUGCGUAGGCGGCUAAUUGAGUCGGAUGUGAAAUCCCCGAGCUUAACUUGGGAAUUGCAUUCGAUACUGGUUAGCUAGAGUGUGGGAGAGGAUGGUAGAAUUCCAGGUGUAGCGGUGAAAUGCGUAGAGAUCUGGAGGAAUACCGAUGGCGAAGGCAGCCAUCUGGCCUAACACUGACGCUGAGGUACGAAAGCAUGGGGAGCAAACAGG
rnacentral:rRNA from 1 species